rnacentral:rRNA from 1 species
CCUACGGGAGGCAGCAUUGAGGAAUAUUGGUCAAUGGCCGAGAGGCUGAACCAGCCAAGUCGCGUGAGGGAAGACGGCCCUACGGGUUGUAAACCUCUUUUGUCGGGGAGCAAAGCGAGUCACGUGUGACUCAUUGAGAGUACCCGAAGAAAAAGCAUCGGCUAACUCCGUGCCAGCAGCCGCGGUAAUACGGGGGAUUCGAGCGUUAUCCGGAUUUAUUGGGUUUAAAGGGUGCGCAGGCGGAGGUGCAAGUCAGCGGUAAAAUUGCGGGGCUCAACCCCGUACUGCCGUUGAAACUGCAUGCCUUGAGUGCACGAGAGGUGUGCGGAAUGCGUGGUGUAGCGGUGAAAUGCAUAGAUAUCACGCAGAACUCCGAUGGCGAAGGCAGCAUACCGGCGCGCAACUGACGCUCAUGCACGAAAGCGUGGGUAUCGAACAGGAUUAGAUACCCCUGUAGUC